GCACAGCAUCAACGUUUUCUUGGGUGAC
rnacentral:sRNA from 1 species